GCUCCUCAGCAUAGUUCUCAAGAAUGUCCCUUAUAGCACCACACCAGAUUGGACGAGCUACCUUCAGGAAGUCAUGCAAUGCCAACACUGGAAGAUUGACGCUUCCCAGUUCAGACUCGCUGUUUCCAACCCUUCCAUGAAAAUCUGACAAGCUUCAGAAGACCGUAAGCGUCUGCUAGGUCACUGUAUACUGCCAGUUUUCCAUCGCUUCUGUAAACUUCCAACCCAUGAAGACCUGCAUCUUUCAGCCAUCUGAUAACUGCAACAGGAUUCUUCAAUGCCCAUGGAUGAGCCAGCACUGCAAGUCCACCAGUUUCACAUAUCACUUGUAUUGCUUCCUCUGCAAGAGGCUCACUUCCCGUGGAAUAAGCAGGUCCGCCAUCAUAUAGAUAUUUGGC
rnacentral:misc_RNA from 1 species